rnacentral:rRNA from 1 species
CAGGCCUAACACAUGCAAGUCGAACGGUAACGGACCGCUGGGAUCCCUUCGGGGUGACCUUGGUGCCGACGAGUGGCGGACGGGUGAGUAACACGUAGGAAUCUGCCCAACAGAGGGGGACAACCCGGAGAAAUCCGGGCUAAUACCGCAUACGCCCUACGGGGGAAAGCGGGGGAUCUUCGGACCUCGUGCUGUUGGAGGAGCCUGCGUCGGAUUAGCUUGUUGGUGAGGUAACGGCUCACCAAG